rnacentral:rRNA from 1 species
UGGGGAAUAUUGGACAAUGGGGGAAACCCUGAUCCAGCGAUGCCGCGUGUGUGAAGAAGGCCUGCGGGUUGUAAAGCACUUUCAGUUGGGAAGAAGCAAUUUACGUUAAUAGCGUAAUGCGUUGACAUUACCAACAGAAGAAGCACCGGCUAACUCUGUGCCAGCAGCCGCGGUAAUACAGAGGGUGCAAGCGUUAAUCGGAAUUACUGGGCGUAAAGCGCACGUAGGUGGGUUAGUAAGUUGUUGGUGAAAAGCUUGGGCUUAACCUGAGUCUGUCCAGCAAAACUGCUAGCCUAGAGUGUAUUAGAGGGAAGUGGAAUUUCCGGUGUAGCAGUGAAAUGCGUAGAUAUCGGAAGGAACACCAGUGGCGAAGGCGACUUCCUGGAAUACCACUGACACUGAGGUGCGAAAGCGUGGGGAGCAAACAGGAUUAGAUACCCCCGUAGUCC